CGCGUGAGGGAAUAAGGCCCUACGGGUCGUAAACCUCUUUUGCCAGGGAGCAAUGCCGUCCACGUGUGGACGGAAGGAGAGUACCUGGAGAAAAAGCAUCGGCUAACUCCGUGCCAGCAGCCGCGGUAAUACGGAGGAUGCGAGCGUUAUCCGGAUUUAUUGGGUUUAAAGGGUGCGUAGGCGGCCUGCCAAGUCAGCGGUAAAAUUGCGGGGCUCAACCCCGUUCAGCCGUUGAAACUGCCGGGCUCGAGUGGGCGAGAAGUAUGCGGAAUGCGUGGUGUAGCGGUGAAAUGCAUAGAUAUCACGCAGAACCCCGAUUGCGAAGGCAGCAUACCGGCGCCCGACUGACGCUGAGGCACGAAAGUGCGGGGAUCAAACAGGAUUAGAUACCCUGGUAGUCCGCACAGUAAACGAUGAAUGCUAGCUGUCCGGGGGGAUUGACCCCUGG
rnacentral:rRNA from 1 species